rnacentral:rRNA from 1 species
ACGGGAGGCAGCAGUGGGGAAUAUUGGGCAAUGGGCGAAAGCCUGACCCAGCAACGCCGCGUGAGGGAAGAAGGUUUUCGGAUUGUAAACCUCUGUCCUUGGUGACGAAGGAAGUGACGGUACUUUAGGAGGAAGCUCCGGCUAACUACGUGCCAGCAGCCGCGGUAAUACGUAGGGAGCGAGCGUUGUCCGGAAUUACUGGGUGUAAAGGGAGCGUAGGCGGGACUGCAAGUCAGAUGUGAAAUGCCGGGGCUUAACCCCGGAGCUGCAUUUGAAACUGUGGUUCUUGAGUGAAGUAGAGGCAAGCGGAAUUCCUGGUGUAGCGGUGAAAUGCGUAGAUAUCAGGAGGAACACCGGUGGCGAAGGCGGCUUGCUGGGCUUUUACUGACGCUGAGGCUCGAAAGCGUGGGUAGCAAACAGGAUUAGAUACCCUGGUA